AUUGAACGCUGGCGGCAUGCCUUACACAUGCAAGUCGAACGGUAACGCGGGGCAACCUGGCGACGAGUGGCGAACGGGUGAGUAAUGCAUCGGAACGUGCCCAGUAGUGGGGGAUAGCCCGGCGAAAGCCGGAUUAAUACCGCAUACGACCUACGGGUGAAAGCGGGGGACCGCAAGGCCUCGCGCUAUUGGAGCGGCCGAUGUCAGAUUAGCUAGUUGGUGGGGUAAAGGCCUACCAAGGCGACGAUCUGUAGCUGGUCUGAGAGGACGACCAGCCACACUGGGACUGAGACACGGCCCAGACUCCUACGGGAGGCAGCAGUGGGGAAUUUUGGACAAUGGGGGCAACCCUGAUCCAGCCAUGCCGCGUGCGGGAAGAAGGCCUUCGGGUUGUAAACCGCUUUUGUCGGGGAAGAAACGGUCUGCGCUAAUACCGCGGGCUAAUGACGGUACCCGAAGAAUAAGCACCGGCUAACUACGUGCCAGCAGCCGCGGUAAUACGUAGGGUGCAAGCGUUAAUCGGAAUUACUGGGCGUAAAGCGUGCGCAGGCGGCUUUGCAAGACAGAUGUGAAAUCCCCGGGCUCAACCUGGGAACUGCAUUUGUGACUGCAUGGCUGGAGUGCGGCAGAGGGGGAUGGAAUUCCGCGUGUAGCAGUGAAAUGCGUAGAUAUGCGGAGGAACACCGAUGGCGAAGGCAAUCCCCUGGGCCUGCACUGACGCUCAUGCACGAAAGCGUGGGGAGCAAAC
rnacentral:rRNA from 1 species